rnacentral:lncRNA from 1 species
AUUCCGCGAGGGAACGCCUCACCGCCGUGCUCCCGGGACGUGCGGCUGGAGUUUGCACUUCGUUGAGAAAUCUGCCUGGCGACUGAGCAUGCCCAGUUCCACUGGAGCCUUGGGCCGCGCGCUCCUGGAGGUGCAUUGUAUGAAGCCUCCUGUUUGGGCUGGUCUCAAGCAGAGCAGUGUGUAUCUUCAUAGGAAGGAGAAAGGUGUCCUGACUAUCAUGGAGAUAAGAAGAGAGAAAGAAGUAGAGAAAGAAAUAACAAGGCAAGGGAAAGAGAAAGGAAGAGGCUGAGCAUAAAAAAUACUAGUGCAUCUCACUUGGUAGAGGACAUAAACUCAGAUGAUCAUAUUGAAUCUACCUGAAUCCUGUGUCCAAUCCUACAAUGAUUUUCUUCCAACUGGAAAAAGAAACUCUGAGUGGUAAGUUUAAAUCACUCAUCUAUUUAUUCUUCUUUUCUAUUAGGUCAAACUGCUUUGGGUUAUCUGAGCUGUUGCAGACUGAUUUGGAAGGUCAUUGCAUUCAAAU